rnacentral:rRNA from 1 species
UACAGAGGUCUCAAGCGUUGUUCGGAUUCAUUGGGCGUAAAGCGCACGUAGGCGGAUUGUUAAGUCAGGGGUGAAAUCCUGGAGCUCAACUCCAGAACUGCCUUUGAUACUGGCGAUCUUGAGUCCGGGAGAGGUGAGUGGAACUGCGAGUGUAGAGGUGAAAUUCGUAGAUAUUCGCAAGAACACCAGUGGCGAAGGCGGCUCACUGGCCCGGUACUGACGCUGAGGUGCGAAAGCGUGGGGAGCAAACAGG